rnacentral:rRNA from 1 species
GCAGUCGAGCGGACAGAAGGGAGCUUGCUCCCGGAUGUUAGCGGCGGACGGGUGAGUAACACGUGGGUAACCUGCCUGUAAGACUGGGAUAACUCCGGGAAACCGGAGCUAAUACCGGAUAGUUCCUUGAACCGCAUGGUUCAAGGAUGAAAGACGGUUUCGGCUGUCACUUACAGAUGGACCCGCGGCGCAUUAGCUAGUUGGUGAGGUAACGGCUCACCAAGGCGACGAUGCGUAGCCGACCUGAGAGGGUGAUCGGCCACACUGGGACUGAGACACGGCCCAGACUCCUACGGGAGGCAGCAGUAGGGAAUCUUCCGCAAUGGACGAAAGUCUGACGGAGCAACGCCGCGUGAGUGAUGAAGGUUUUCGGAUCGUAAAGCUCUGUUGUUAGGGAAGAACAAGUGCAAGAGUAACUGCUUGCACCUUGACGGUACCUAACCAGAAAGCCACGGCUAACUACGUGCCAGCAGCCGCGGUAAUACGUAGGUGGCAAGCGUUGUCCGGAAUUAUUGGGCGUAAAGGGCUCGCAGGCGGUUUCUUAAGUCUGAUGUGAAAGCCCCCGGCUCAACCGGGGAGGGUCAUUGGAAACUGGGAAACUUGAGUGCAGAAGAGGAGAGUGGAAUUCCACGUGUAGCGGUGAAAUGCGUAGAGAUGUGGAGGAACACCAGUGGCGAAGGCGACUCUCUGGUCUGUAACUGACGCUGAGGAGCGAAAGCGUGGGGAGCGAACAGGAUUAGAUACCCUGGUAGUCCACGCCGUAAACGAUGAGUGCUAAGUGUUAGGGGGUUUCCGCCCCUUAGUGCUGCAGCUAACGCAUUAAGCACUCCGCCUGGGGAGUACGGUCGCA